CCCUUAGACGUUCUGGGCCGCACGCGCGCUACACUGACCAGUGCAACAAGCAUCCGUCCUUGGCCGACAGGCCCGGGCAAUCUUUGAACGCUGGUCGUGAUGGGGAUAGAUUAUUGCAAUUAUUAAUCUUCAACGAGGAAUGCCUAGUAAGCGCAAGUCAUCAGCUUGCGUUGAUUACGUCCCUGCCCUUUGUACACACCGCCCGUCGCUCCUACCGAUUGAAUGGUCCGGUGAAGCGUUCGGACCGUGGCCUUUGGACGGUUCGCCGUCUGUUGGCUGCGGGAAGUUCGUUAAACCUUAUCAUUUAGAGGAAGGAGAANUCGUANCA
rnacentral:rRNA from 1 species